rnacentral:tRNA from 1 species
GGUUCUAUGGUCUAGUGGUGAAGACAUUGGAAUCUCAGUCUAGUAAACCGAAUUCAAAUCUCGGUGGAACCU